rnacentral:rRNA from 1 species
UGGGGGAUAUUGCACAAUGGGCGAAAGCCUGAUGCAGCGACGCCGCGUGGGGGAUGAAGGCCUUCGGGUUGUAAACUUCUUUUGCUCUGAACAAGGCAUGCUAAUGGGUGUGUUGAGUGUAGGGGUUGAUUAGCGCCGGCUAACUACGUGCCAGCAGCCGCGGUAAUACGUAAGGCGCGAGCGUUGUCCGGAAUUAUUGGGCGUAAAGGGCUUGUAGGUGGCUGGUUGCGUCUGUCGUGAAAGCUCAUGGCUUAACUGUGGGUUUGCGGUGGGUACGGGCUGGCUUGAGUGCAGUAGGGGAGGCUGGAAUUCCUGGUGUAGCGGUGGAAUGCGCAGAUAUCAGGAGGAAUACCGGUGGCGAAGGCGGGUCUCUGGGCUGUUACUGACACUGAGGAGCGAAAGCAUGGGGAGCGAACAGG